GUAGUCCACGCUGUAAACGAUGAAAACUAGAUGUUGGUAGGCUAAGACCUAUUAGUAUCGAAGCUAACGCGAUAAGUUUUCCGCCUGGGGAGUACGGUCGCAAGAUUAAAACUCAAAGAAAUUGACGGGGGCCCGCACAAGCGGUGGAGCAUGUGGUUUAAUUCGACGCAACGCGAAGAACCUUACCUACCCUUGACAUCCAGAGAAUUCUGCAGAGAUGUGGAAGUGCCGAAAGGAACUCUGAGACAGGUGCUGCAUGGCUGUCGUCAGCUCGUGUUGUGAGAUGUUGGGUUAAGUCCCGUAACGAGCGCAACCCUUAUCCUUAGUUGCCAACAUGUAAUGGUGGGGACUCUAAGGAGACUGCUGGUGAUGAACCGGAGGAAGGCGGGGACGACGUCAAGUCAUCAUGGCCUUUAUGGGUAGGGCUACGGACGUGCUACAAUGGCGCGUACAGAGGGUUGCCAACCUGCGAAGGGGAGCCAAUCUCGAAAAACGCGUCGUAGUCCGGAUCGGAGUCUGCAACUCGACUCCGUGAAGUCGGAAUCGCUAGUAAUCGCGAAUCAGAACGUCGCGGUGAAUA
rnacentral:rRNA from 1 species